rnacentral:rRNA from 1 species
UGGGGAAUAUUGCACAAUGGGCGCAAGCCUGAUGCAGCCAUGCCGCGUGUGUGAAGAAGGCCUUCGGGUUGUAAAGCACUUUCAGCGGGGAGGAAGGCGAUAAGGUUAAUAACCUUGUCGAUUGACGUUACCCGCAGAAGAAGCACCGGCUAACUCCGUGCCAGCAGCCGCGGUAAUACGGAGGGUGCAAGCGUUAAUCGGAAUUACUGGGCGUAAAGCGCACGCAGGCGGUCUGUCAAGUCGGAUGUGAAAUCCCCGGGCUCAACCUGGGAACUGCAUUCGAAACUGGCAAGCUUGAGUCUCGUAGAGGGGGGUAGAAUUCCAGGUGUAGCGGUGAAAUGCGUAGAGAUCUGGAGGAAUACCGGUGGCGAAGGCGGCCCCCUGGACGAAGACUGACGCUCAGGUGCGAAAGCGUGGGGAGCAAACAGG